GGACGAGAAAUACGAUUUUUAUUUUUAUCGACGAUUUUUCCGGCCCUCGAGUCGAUAUUCGAAACGUGUGUACCGCGAUUAUAUUUCGCGCGAUGCGUAAUUUGAAAUGCUUUUUACGUGUCGUGUUCUUCUGACAUUCGACUUUAUCCCCCUCCCCUACCCAGUAUAUACGGCACCCGAUACAUAGGAUAUAUACGAGGUUAUAGA